UGCAAGGAUUCAGAGAAAGUGGAACCCUCUUGCACUGUUGGUGCGAAUGCAAAAUGGUGCAGCCACCCUGGAAAACGGUAUGGAGGUGCCUCAGAAAGUUAAAGGCAGAAAUAUCCUACGAUCUAGCAACCGCACUACUAGGUGUUUAUCUGAAGAA